ensembl:snRNA U1 U1 spliceosomal RNA
AUACUUACCUGGCAAGGGAGACACCGUGAUCACCAAGGCGGUUCACCCAGGGCGAGGCUCGGCCAUUGCACUGCCGGCUGUGCUGACCCCUGCGAAUUUCCCAAAUGUGGAAAUCUCGAUUGCAUAAUUUCUGGUAGUGGGGGACUGCGUUCGCGCUCUCCCCUC